UACGUAGGUGGCAAGCGUUGUCCGGAAUUAUUGGGCGUAAAGGGCGCGUAGGCGGUUGGUUAAGUCAGCUGUGAAAGCCCGGGGCUCAACCCCGGAGGGUCGGCUGAUACUGAUUGACUAGAGUACGGAAGAGGUAGCUGGAAUUCCCGGUGUAGCGGUGAAAUGCGUAGAUAUCGGGAGGAACCCCUGAGGCGAAGUCGGGCUACUGGGACGAUACUUACGCUGAUGCGCGAAAGCCAGGGGAGCGAACGGG
rnacentral:rRNA from 1 species